GUUGGGGGGAUAGGAGAGGACAGGUGGGAGAAGGGAACUGGGAUUGUCAUGUAAAACAAUCCUGUUUCUAAUUCAAAUAAAAAAAGUUGGAAAAAAUAUUUUUCAAGUUAUUUCUUUGUAAACACUGCUGUACUGUCUUUUGGUGAUAUUAUUUCAUAACUUCUGUUCAUGCUAUGAAAAAGAAGUACAAAAUGUGAUGUUUCUGGGAUCAUUAAAUCUUGAUGAACAUUAAUGAUAAAUAUAUUGUGCCUCCUCUCUCAUUUGAACUCCAUUUCCUAAAGUGAAUCUUCCAUUUAUUUUUGCCUGUUCUUGCUCCAGUCCCCAAAUUGCUCUACUACCUUCAGUUAUUUCACACACUUUUUCUUGGUACUAAUUCUUUUUAAAUUUUUUUAAAAUUUAUUCUUUGAUAAUUUCAAACUAUAUUUUGAUCAAAUUCUUUGCCCUCCUUCAAUUCUUCUCAUGUCCUCCCCUCCUCCUCUAGCUAUCCAACUUUAUGCUCUGUCUCCCCCCCAAACACACACACACACACACACACACACACACACACACACACACACACAUACACACACACACACACACAGAGAGAGAGAGAGAGAGAGAGAGAGAGAGAGAGAGAGAGAGAGAGAUUCCAAUUUGUGUUGGCCAACUACUCAUGAGCAUGGUCCCUGCCCUAAAUUGUGAUUAAUACACUCAGUACCACUUCAUUCUCUGAAAAUCAGAGACCUGAUUUUCUCUAACCAAACUGCUAUCAAUGCCAAAUAGCUUCUUAAACAAGAUCAGGACUUUGUGUUCAUUUUCUCCCCAUGCUUGGGUUUUGUUUUGUUUGAGCAUGUGCAGGUUGCCAGGCGGUUGUGAUGCAUGGCCUUAAUCCUAGCACUUGGGAGGCAGAGGCAGGUGGAUCUCUGUGAGUUUGUGACCAGCCUCGUCUACAAGAAAUAGUUCCAGGACAGGUUCCAAAGUUACACAGAGAAACCCUGUCUUGGAAAACAAAACAAGACAAAAAAGAGCAUGUUUAGGUCUUGUGCAUGCUGUCACCCUUGAUAUUAAUGCUAAAUGGAUCUUUUGGAUCUUUUGCAGUCACAAAUCUGAUGCUAUCAAAUGGUGCUAGGAAUUUUCAAGUUUCUUGAUUUAGCACAUAAUACAUUUUAUAUAUUUACUAGUAUAUAUUCACAUUUUCUUAUCUUUCAUAGUUCACUAAUACUGAUGAACCAACCUGCUUCCAUUUAUGCUUAAAAGCUAUUUUAUAUUAAAGACAAACUAGGCUCAUUCCUCUUUAGAAUUAUUAAACUCAUUUCUCAAGGAUUUGACUAUGCCUCACCCAUAACAAAUAAUAGCAACCAUGCCUUUAUUUCAAAAAGUUGUUAUAACCAUCUUGCAAACCUUUCUUAGUUCCAAAAGGUUGUUAUGGAAGCUCAAGUGGAAAGAUAUCCUGACAGUCAGAAACCAAGGAAUACUACAAAGUCACACCAUACAACAAACCUCACAGAAAAGAUUACAAGGGAAAAAAACCUGAAGGUGGCUGCCUCUGCUUAUGUGAGAAACAGUUGCAAACUGAACAGGAUAUAGGGUUUAUAGAGAGUCUUUUGGGGAGGGGGAAUGGAAUGUUUCAGGGUGAAGCCUUCAAGGGUGGAGAUUGGCGGGAUUUCAAGUUCAGAGAUUGGGCUUUUCUAUAGGGUGAGGAGCUGAGUCCAGCAGCUAGGGCAGUUACAGGGUUCUAUGGGUGGAACUUGGCAGUUGGAGGUCAUUGGGGGAAGGUCCUGGGCCCUUGUAUGGCUGCAGGAGCUUACUAUAUGACUGUCUGUUAUUAUGACCACUUUGUCACAAUCACCAUGUAAUCAUGUAUUUGUUUCAUGAGGACAUUAUGACUUACUUGAUAUGCUUAUGUUCUGCUUCUAUAACCCUACCUACUUUGCCUGCCAAAUCUCCCAUUUAGAAACCCCAUAUCCCUGAGCUAUAAAAACCUCAUCUUCUUCACAUCCAAUGCUGACCCUGCUUUGGGAGGAAGGCAGCCCAUGUACACAAAUAAAAAUGGUUCCUUUAAUUAAUUGCUUGCUUUACUUAAUUUGGCCAUGAUAACGAUCAGGAUUGCUCCAAGAAUCUUGAUGCUCCCAUUCAACAGGAAGUAGUCUAAUAAUAAUGCUGUCCCCUUUGCAACCCCUGGUUGUUUAUUAAUUAUAAACAAAAAAGUGGAGAUGUAGAAUAAGAAGAGCCACUGAAAGAGCACCAUGGCCCUGAAACAAGAGCCAAGAAAAUACACCGGGCCUCUACCUGACUCAAGAAUCGAAAUCCAAUCAAUCCCUGAGCAAGAACAAUAACCAAACCCAGAGAAUGAAAAUCAACCAAUCCCAGAGCAUGAAAUCCAACCAAUCCCUGAGCACAAAAUCAAACCAAACUCUGAGCUUGUCCCAAGCUCAGGAAUUGUGAUCCUAUGAAUCCCUACCCUGAAAGUCUUCAUCCUGGAAAGCUCCACCCCUAAGAAACUAUAUAAAUCCUAUACCUGCUCAUUUGGGGGGCUUCCCUUUUUCCACACUGGCAGAAGUAGCCACUCUCUUGGAUUCCUCCCUCCCAGUAAAUCGCUUGAGUUAAAUUUGUUGUAAUGAUUUUCUUUUGCCAGGGCACAGUGGAACAGAGAUGUGACAACCUUGCCAGAACAGAGCAGAACUGUACCGGCUAUCCCCAUAGCCUGGCAGAACUGCUACAUUUCCACAGGGAAACUCCGUUAGUGGAGCUGUAACAACUUUUGCCAGAACAGAGCAGUGCUGUAAUGGUUCUCACUGGAGCACAGUGGAGCAGGAGCAGAGCAGAAGUGUAACACUUUUGCUGGGGAAACUUUUCCUUGCUGCAUCAAAGUUGUUAGAUUCCAGGGGAAGAGAGCAGAGCAGAGCUGUAGCAACCUUGCUGGGAAAACCCUCCCCUGCUGUAGCAGAGUUGUUCCACUUGCAUUGGGAGAACCUUUCCCAGAGCAAGGGAUGUAACAUUUUUUGGGGGAAACUGUCCCCUGCCGGAACAGAGCUGUAACACUUUUGUUGGGAUACCUUCCCUUCACAGCUAUAGAUAUUCUAUAGGCAGAGUUUUCCUACCAUGCGAGCUGCUUCCAAAUUGCCACACAGAGGCUUAUAUUAAUUAUAAAUGCUCAGACAAUAGUUCAGCUUUUUUUGCUAACUAGCUUUUAUAUUUUAAGCUAAUUCAUUUUCCUUAUUUACCUCUGCCAUGUGGAAGUACCUUUAUUAGCAUGGCACGUUCAUCUCCUGACCCUUUCGUAUCUGGCUAGUGACUCCUCUUACUCCACCUUUCUUUCCCUCACAGUCCUCUGUCUUUGGCUGUCCUGCAUAUACUUCCUGCCUGGCUACCAACCUGUCAGCUUUUUAUUAACCAAUGAGAGUAAUACAUAUUCAUAGUAUGCAGAAGGACUAUUCCACAGCAGUAGUCUUUGGUUUGACUGCUAUGAUACCUUUCCCUUCCAGGCUACAGAUAUUCCUUGGCUUCCUACUGCCAGGAUACAUUUCUCUUCAGAGCUGUAACACUUGCACAAUGUCCUUAACUACUCCUUCACAUGCUGCUUACCUCUUCGUUAAAAUCUAUCAAUGAAUAUCAUAAUAAACAAAAUGUUCAGAUUACUUCCUGUAGUGUAUUCUUUUUCAAUGAAUAUCUUUAUUGUGGCAGUUACUACAUAUAGUAGGCUUUAUUAUAUUAUUAUUAUAAUACAGUAUUAUUAUGUUAAUAGUAUUUACUCAGUGCUGUUCUUUUUGUUGCACUGUCUCUUUCUCUAAGUUGUCAAUUCCUUUGACACAGGGACUUUGUCUCAUUUAUUGUGUUUUUCAGUAUCUGUCCUUUACAUAAGAAAUGCUCACAGUGAGGAGAAACAGGGGGGAAUAGAGAGAAUGAAACAAAGCGAGAAAAGGAAAUAAAUAAUCAGAAAAGUACCAGGAGUAAAGAUGAAGUCAUGAAGGAAAGAAGGCAUACAGGAUCCAAAAAAAUAGGAAGGAUUAACAAACUCCCGCUUGGAAACCAAGAGAAGACAGAGAGAAGGGCAAUCAAGACAGAACCUACAAGAAACAUGAAAUCAAUUGGUCAAAACGUGGAAGACUGUCAACAAAAAUAAUAUGAAGGGAUGUCUGAUUUAUGAAUAUGCCAGAGAGCCAACUCUUCCAAUCCAAGGGAACAAAGUAUUUUGAAAGCUGUUUCUGUUGUAUAACGGCAUUAUUAAGAAGACAAGAUAAAUAAAGCUUGCCUUGAAAAUUCUAAGUAAGCCACAGUUUCUGGACUUUGAUGUUAUGGAGAUCAUAUCAUUCCUUGUCGACAUGUUCAACGACUUCUAGAACCAGAAGAAAGGCAGCUCUUGAGAAUUUUCCAAUGUGAUUCUAAAACUGAACUGACGGAAAUCCCAUUUCAAAGACUGUUUUCCUGACACUUCCUAACAAAUUUUAGUCUCUAGAGGCAAGUCUCCUUUUGAUUAGCUGAAUGUAAGCAAUUAGUUUUAUGAAUGGUAUUGCCAACAAUUCUCUCCCCACCUAGCUACUUCCUAAGAAAUAACAUGAACAAGCAAGAAACAAGGCUGAUGCCAUUGUGCAGACAAUGCUCAUUGCCACAUGCCUGUUGCUGCUGCUGCCUCUGCCAUUGCAGAACAGAAGACUGUGGUAGCUAUCUACCUUGUUAUACAAUG